rnacentral:misc_RNA from 1 species
GAUGAAGAACGUAGCGAAAUGCGAUAAGUAGUGUGAAUUGCAGAAUUCAGUGAAUCAUCGAAUCCUUGAACGCACAUUGCGCCCUUUGGUAUUCCAAAGGGCAUGCCUGUUCGAGCGUCAUUUGUACCCUCAAGCUUUGCUUGGUGUUGGGCGUCUUGUCUCUAGCUUUGCUGGAGACUCGCCUUAAAGUAAUUGGCAGCCGGCCUACUGGUUUCGGAGCGCAGCACAAGUCGCACUCUCUAUCAGCAAAGGUCUAGCAUCCAUUAAGCCUUUUUUUCAACUUUUGACCUCGGAUCAGGUAGGGAUACCCGCUGAACUUAAGCAUAUCAAUAAGCGGAGGA